GAAGUCAAUCGUUGGAAAGAAUUAUCUGAGUUGUUGUAGAUAAUUAAACCGAAACCUCUGUCGUCUCCUAUAUACACCUUAGUAUUCAUAGGAUCCAUGGCUUGAACAACUAGAGACACUAGUUCUCCCUUCCUGUGGUGACAUUUACGGCAAUAUCAUGUGGUAUCUCGACUUGUUUAAGAUGUUGUGAGUUCUUCACAUCAAAGACAUGCAACUUUGGAGCACACACAGGUUGAGUUCUAUUGAUAAGACCUGAA